UUGAUGCUCCCUCCGUCCGAAAAUACAUGUCAUCAAAAUGGAUUAAAGAAAAUGUAUUUAAACGUGUUUUAGUCAAAAUACAUCUUUUGUUUUGUUCAUUUUGAUAAUAAGUAUUUUCAGACGGAGGAAAUACUUU
rfam:Triticum aestivum genome assembly, contig: Triticum_aestivum_CS42_TGACv1_scaffold_220636_3B